CAGCACAGAGAAGCUUGCUUCUUGGGUGGCGAGUGGCGAACGGGUGAGUAACAUAUCGGAACGUACCGAGCAGUGGGGGAUAACUAAUCGAAAGAUUAGCUAAUACCGCAUAUAUUCUGAGGAAGAAAGCAGGGGACCAUUUGGCCUUGCGCUGUUUGAGCGGCCGAUAUCUGAUUAGCUAGUUGGUGGGGUAAAGGCCUACCAAGGCGACGAUCAGUAGCGGGUCUGAGAGGAUGAUCCGCCACACUGGGACUGAGACACGGCCCAGACUCCUACGGGAGGCAGCAGUGGGGAAUUUUGGACAAUGGGCGCAAGCCUGAUCCAGCCAUGCCGCGUGUCUGAAGAAGGCCUUCGGGUUGUAAAGGACUUUUGUCAGGGAAGAAAAGGGCGGGGUUAAUACCCCUGUCUGAUGACGGUACCUGAAGAAUAAGCACCGGCUAACUACGUGCCAGCAGCCGCGGUAAUACGUAGGGUGCGAGCGUUAAUCGGAAUUACUGGGCGUAAAGCGGGCGCAGACGGUUACUUAAGCAGGAUGUGAAAUCCCCGGGCUCAACCUGGGAACUGCGUUCUGAACUGGGUGACUAGAGUGUGUCAGAGGGAGGUAGAAUUCCACGUGUAGCAGUGAAAUGCGUAGAGAUGUGGAGGAAUACCGAUGGCGAAGGCAGCCUCCUGGGAUAACACUGACGUUCAUGCCCGAAAGCGUGGGUAGCAAACAGGAUUAGAUACCCUGGUAGUCCACGCCCUAAACGAUGUCGAUUAGCUGUUGGGCAGCAUGACUGCUUAGUAGCGAAGCUAACGCGUGAAAUCGACCGCCUGGGGAGUACGGUCGCAAGAUUAAAACUCAAAGGAAUUGACGGGGACCCGCACAAGCGGUGGAUGAUGUGGAUUAAUUCGAUGCAACGCGAAGAACCUUACCUGGUCUUUGACAUGUACGGAACCCUCCAGAGACGGAGGGGUGCCUUCGGGAGCCGUAACACAGGUGCUGCAUGGCUGUCGUCAGCUCGUGUCGUGAGAAGU
rnacentral:rRNA from 1 species